UGAGGGCAUUUUUCUAUGACAGCAGACACAUGAGAUGAUGGCUGAAGUGAGUCAGUGAAGGAGAAGAUCAAGAUCUGGAGGAGGACAUGCAGUUUACACUUCAGGAGAAAGACACAGAUGAGCUCCAGGGCAGAUUCAGCAAUCAUAAAGGAUCUAGGACAUGGAGUCAUGAUACCCACAGAAAAAUGGGUAUCAAAGUAUGCCCAAACAUGUUGGAUGAAUAUAUUUAAAUAUAUAAUGUCUAAUCAGUCAGCCCAAGUGAAGCCACACAAUGUAAAAGAAUAAAUUAA